rnacentral:misc_RNA from 1 species
UCCGGUUUGGCACCGGCAGUCUCCCUAGAGUUCCCGGCAUGACCCGCUGGCAACUAAGGAUAGGGGUUGCGCUCGUUGCGCCACUUAAGGCAACACCUCACGGCACGAGCUGACGACAGCCAUGCACCACCUGUGCAGGCUCCGUAGAGCACCCGCUUUCACGGGUUUCACCCUGCAUGUCAAGCCCAGGUAAGGUGGGGAUGACGUCUGAGAGUACGUCC